rnacentral:lncRNA from 1 species
GAUUAGAGCACUGUCUCGAGUUCUUGAGGGGGAGUUUAUAUUGGCGUUCUGUCAACAUGCAUCAUAACUCUUUAAUUUUCAUUUUCAGUUUGAUACAUAUUUCAAUAAUAGACAAAGUAGCACAAAAUCCACUGGCAACAAAAUCUAGCCAUUAUUCACCAAUUAAGACAAUUUCAAAAUUUCAUGUAACAAUACAAAUUCGUUUACUCUAGAAAAAUUUCAUUAAAAUGAUGAAUAUUUCUUUCUUCAUACAAACAUUAUGUACAAAUCUUCAUAGACUACUUAUAUUCAUCACAAAAGGACUCAAUUUGAUUAACUUCCUCCACAAUUUAAAUUAGUAGGACAAAUUGCUUGCAAUUGAUAAUUAGACAGAAUUUACACUUGGCUCUCGUUCCAAUUCAAUGCACUUGAAUCUUACAAUUCAUUUCAAUUUACAAAUAGCUAGGAAUUUUGUUAGUAAUCUUUAUUUGAAACUAUCUCAAAUUAAACAAAUUUUCACCUUUUGCAAUAUAAGAAAAGGUAAUUAUAUUACCACUACAAAAUUUAAUAAUAAGUACACCACAUUAUAAUCACACCACAAAUAAAAUAGAUUUUUAAUAAAUGCACCGUAAAUGAACUGAAUUUUCAAUUGAAUUUGAACCCUAG